UCUCAGAAGCUACAAGCUCUUGGGACAGGUGGCCCCGAUUUCAUGUCCCUGUCUCUCUAACUUCUGGAACAUGACCCAAACACAUGCUCUUUAGGGCUUCCUCAGUCCAUGACUCAUUAGCCACCCUAGCAGUGCUAGAACCUUCCAUCUUCCACCCCUUCAGGUCCAAGAAAUGCAGCUGAACCACCUGGCGUGAGCCUGAGCCCCUGUCCAUCUGUGGUGGCCAAGGACGGUCUCUCACCUUGGAGUUUGCCUUUGGUGACAUGGAGGGACUGACCCCUGCAAGCAGAGACCUUUUGGCAAAGCCGGCAACUGCCAGCCCCAGUCUGUCCUCACUGGGUGCUGUCUUCAUCCUCCUGAAAUCGGCACUGGGGGCUGGCCUGCUCAACUUCCCCUGGGCCUUCCACAAGGCCGGCGGCGUGACCCCCGCCUUCCUGGUGGAGCUGGUGUCCUUGGCCUUCCUGAUCAGUGGGCUGGUCAUCCUGGGCUAUGCCGCCUCCAUCAGUGGCCAGGCCACCUACCAGGGCGUGGUUGGAGAGCUGUGUGGGCCAGCCAUCGGGAAGCUGUGUGAGGUCUGCUUCAUCGUCAACCUGCUCAUGAUCUCCGUGGCCUUCCUCAGGGUGAUCGGGGACCAGCUGGACAAGCUGUGUGACGUCCUCCUGCCCGGUGCUCCGCCGGCCCUGCCGCCCUGGUACGUGGACCAGCGCUUCACCUUGACCCUGCUGUCCAUGCUGGUCAUCCUGCCCCUGUCUACCCCGAAGGAGAUUGGGUUCCAGAAAUUCACGAGCUUCCUAGGCACCCUGGCUGCCUGCUACCUGGCCCUGGUCAUCGUGGCGCAGUACUACCUUGGGGCCCAGCCCCUGGUGCGGGAGCCCCGCCCUGCCCUGAGUCCUUCCUCCUGGGCCUCCGUGUUCAGUGUCUUCCCCACCAUCUGCUUUGGAUUUCAGUGUCAUGAAGCGGCUGUCUCCAUCUACUGCAGCAUGGGCAACCAGAGCCUGUCCCACUGGGCCCUGGUCUCUGUGCUGUCCCUGCUGGCCUGCUGCCUUGUGUACUCACUGACAGGUGUUUAUGGCUUUCUGACCUUUGGGACAGAAGUUUCCGCUGACAUCUUGAUGUCCUACCCAGGGGACGACGGACUCAUCAUCGUUGCCCGAGUCCUCUUUGCCGUCUCUAUAGUGACCGUCUACCCCAUUGUGCUCUUCCUGGGGAGGUCGGUGAUGCAGGAUUUCUGGAGGAGGAGCUGUUGCCAGGUGUUUGGGCUGCGGGCCCUGGCCGACCCCUCAGGGCUAGGGGUCCGGAUGCUGCUGACCGUCCUGUGGGUCACCGUGACACUUGCCAUGGCCCUGUUCCUGCCAGACCUCAGCGAGAUCAUCGGCAUCAUCGGUGGCAUCAGUUCCUUCUUCAUCUUCAUCUUCCCAGGUCUGUGCCUCAUCUGUGCCGUCAGCACCGAGCCAAUAGGACCAUGGGCCAGGUGCUGCUUGGAGGUCUGGGGAGUGGUGUCCGUGCUGGUCGGCACCUUCAUCUUCGGGCAGAGCACAGUGGCAGCCGUCCUGGAGCUCUUGUGAGGGGCGGCCGUGCCUGCGCAGCAGGGGCCGCCACAGGCCGCCCAGCUGCGACACCAGUGUAAUUCCAUCAUAAAGAUGCUGGAGAAACCAACCCCUUCGCCUUCCUAGGCUGCUCAUUGGGGCUUCUGCUGAUGCAAAGGGUUUCUGGUGCAAUGGCGAGGAGAAUGCUAACAAAUGAGCACAGAAUGGUGGCUUGAGACAGCAGAAUUUAGUCUCUCAGAGUCCUGGGGCUAGGAGUCAGAGGUCCAGGUGUCAGCCGGCCGCCUCUUCCCACUCUCGGGGUUGCUGGCACUGUGCAGCGUGCCUCGGCUUGUAGGCACGUCUCUCUGGUCUCUGCUUUUACCUUGCAUGGCCUUCCUCCCUCUGUGUCUGUGACCACUGCCCCCUCUUCUUAUAAGGACACUGUGGUUGGAUUCAGGCCCAGCCUAAUUCCCUAUGACUUCGCCUUAUGUUUCUUAAUGAGGGUCUGCAAAGAUCCUGUUUUCAAAUAAGGUCACACUCAGGUUCUAGGGGGUAGGACUUAAUAUUUCUGGGGCACCCACUACAACUACAGGGGCUGAGGCCGAGAGAGCCCUGCUUUGGGGCGCCGGGAUCAGAGACAUGGGGUGAGGGUAGUGUGCAGUGGAGGACAGGGACUUCAGGUAGCGUCCACGGGGGGUGGAGGGGGACGGGGAAUGCAGCAAUCCUGCCCAUGACUGCGAGGUGCCCAAGGAGAUAGAUGCCCAGAUCUGGCCACACACACUAGCCCCUGGCCCAUGCUCCAGUGGGGGCACCCUGCAGACAGCCCCCUUUCCCUCCACUGGCUGGAGGCAAAGAGUCUGGAAGCCUAGUGGACCGGUUUUGCUGCCGCCCCCCAAACAAUGUUGCAGUGAGGGGUCAGACUUGCAGUGCAGAUGAGAGCACCAAGGUCCAUCCCUGGGGCCGGGCAGGGGAAAGGAUGGGGGUAGGGGGCGUGGUGUGGAGGUGGGCGGGGUCCCCCGCUCCCCCGUGUUGCUGUGCUUGUCGGCACGGACCCUGCGUGGGCCCAGGGAUGCCCUGGGUGUCACUGGAUUCAGGCCACUCUUGCUGCCUCGGGACAGCUGGCGUUCCAGGAUGCCUCCCUGAAGGUGGGUUCUGUGUGUUAUGUUGUGUGACAUGCAUGUGACUGUGAGGAUGGUGGUGAUAGAGCCGUUUUCUGUUCCCAGCUUGUCCAUGUGCAUUAUUUAUUUUUUUAGCUAUAAUUCACAUACCAAAGAAAUCGCCCUUUUAAAGUAUGUAGUUCAGUGGGUGUUAGUCGAUGCACAGAGUUGCGGAGCCGUCCCCAGUGCCUGAUUUCAGCCUCUCACGCCCAAGCAGCCCUGCACCCGUUCGCAGUCACUGCCCACCCCUCGCCCAGCCCCCGCCAACCACAGAGCUGCUUCUGUCUCCACGGGCUUGCCUCUUCCAGACAUCUCCUAUACAGGGACACAUACACCACAUGGCCUUUUGUUUGGCUUCUUUGCAUUAGCAUGUUUUCAAACUUGUCCGUUUUACAGGCAAGUCGACUGAGACUUGGGAAAAUCAAGGCCGCCUGUCCUGAGAGGUACAGAGUUAGAGAUGGGACUGAUUUGGGGUUGAAUUUCUUCCUCCGCUUCCUUUCCACUUCACACUCCACUCCUCCAGUGGCCAAGGGGGUGGGAACUGCUGUGCCUGAGCCCCAGGGCAAGGAUGGACCCCCGCCCUCCUCCACCCUGGCUGCUGGUGGAGGUGGGACGCUGUGGUCGCAGGCAUAGACUCUGACCAGUGAGGGGGACAUGGGACCCUGUGCCCUGGCCCACCCUGUGUUCAGCGUCCACGGUGUCCUCCCAGAGGAGGAUAUGCAUCGGGGCAGAAUUGCUUUACUGGAGCGCUUAUCACCCCAGUGCCGGCAGUGAGAAUGGGCAGUCAUUUACUAGUUGUACCCUGGGUGCUUCCCAAAGGUGCCCUGGCGCUGGCUGUGAAGGCCGGGACUGUGCGAGGGCCAUUCACAGGGCGCCAGAGAUAAGAACGAAGCAUGACGGGGAAGGGUUGUGCCAAAGAGGCAGGCAGUGUGCAAACUGGCUUUGGAGUUAAGACUACUGGCAUGAAAUGCUGGCUCUACCAUUUGCUAUGUGAAGAUUUGAGAAGUUUGCAAAUUUCUUCCAAGAAUCUGUUUUUCCACCAGCAAACUGGAGCAGGGUUAUUGCGUAUGAUGCAAUUUGGGAUCCGUGUGAGAAUUAAAGGUGGUAAUGUAUCUACAGCUACUAGCAGGGGAGCCAAACAAUAAAUCUAUUUCUAGAAAACCUAGGUUGACAUUAGCAAGUAAACGCUGAGCUUCCUGGCAGCCAAGGAAAGCAGGGUCCUAUGCGGACACUAAUUCUCACCCAAAAUUAGCCACACUGGGAAGGAAGUAGGAUGCACCAAAUGCUAAAAAGAGGUGAGGUGGUGCUGUUUAGGAGGUGACAAAUAUCACCACUGGGGACAUUUUCCAUCUCCUUAUGUGACAGGUACAGAUGUGAUCCUCAUAGGACUGAGCCUCAAAUCGACCAUCAUAAUGCAAAACAUAAUGCAGCCAAAGCAAUGCCGGCUGGGGUGUUGCCGCACAUGUCUGAUCUACUAAAAAGAGGUCUGUGCUCCACAAAAUGAAGGUCUGAAGUGCAUCCUUGGACUUCAAGCACAGGCUCUGGGUCUGGAAGGUCGGAGCGGCUCUGCCUGCCACUUACCAGCUGUGUGACCGUAGCCAGACCUGUCCCCCUCUGAACAGCCCCUGUCCUCAGGAAGUCAGGGCCUUUCUUAGCCUGGGCACCCUUCCUCAGUCCUAGCUGAGUGUCCACCCUCUUCCUUCUUCUUCUGGGACCUUGGCUCAGGUCCUCUCCAUUCUCCCGCACUGAGGACAGCCCCUCCCUCCCGGGGUAGCCAAGAGGAUGAGCUGAGAUGUACCUGCGAAGCCCGUGGCACAGAGCCCGGCCUGGAACCAGUUCCUGGUCAAUGGCCACACUGGUGCUUGAAUGGAGGGACCUACACGUCUCAUUUAAUGAAUGUGAACAUGGUCAAGUGACAUCUUAAAUGACUUGUGCUGCUCUGAGCAGCAUGGGCUGCAGGGGGUUCCCAGUUUCCUGAAGAAGCCCCUUUCCACUGGCUCAGGGGCCCCCAAGUAACUGUGCAGGGACACCAGCCUAGGGGGCUGCCGGCCCCGAGCGCCUAGAGUUGCCCACCUCCCAAGGAAGGUUUGGGCUUUGACCUGGACGUGGCAGAGGUGUGGACCAGCCACUGCGUGCAGGUGAGCUGAUUGAGACUUUUGUUGUUGUUAAUUGAGAUAAAAUUCAUGUAACACCGGUGUACUGUUUGGUGGCAUUUAGCAUAUUCACAGUGUUGUGUGACCCCCACCUCCAUCUGGUCCCAAAGCAUUCUCAUUGUCCCCAAGAACCCGCACACCCAUCAGCAGUCGCUCCCUCCUUCCUCUUCCACCAGCCCCUGGUGACCAGGAAUCUCUGUCUCUGUCAGUUGAUCUAUUCUGAACACUUUGUAUGCAUGGGAUCCUACACACGUAGUCCAUUGUGUCUGGCUUCUUUCACUUAGAACAAUGUUCCCAAGGCUCACCCAUGUUGUUGCGUGUCAAAGCUCCAUUCCUUUGCAUGGCCGAGUCACAUUCCAAUGUCUGGAUAGAGCACAUUGUAUUUGUCCAUCAGCUGAUGGACAUCCGGCUUGUUCCUGUCUUUGGCUGUUGGGAAUAGUGCUGCUAUGAACGUCUGCAUUUGCUUCAAUGCGUCUUUUCAAUUCUUUUAGGCUCAGCACACACAGAUGUACCCAGGAGUGGACUUGCCGAGUCAUGAGGACCCCCCUCUGCACACCUGGCACCGACGUGGAGCACUCCCUUGUGGGC